rnacentral:rRNA from 1 species
CCUACGGGUGGCAGCAGUAAGGAAUAUUGGUCAAUGGACGAAAGUCUGAACCAGCCAUGCCGCGUGGAGGAUGAAGGUCCUCUGGAUUGUAAACUUCUUUUAUCUGGGACGAAAAAAGGGAAUUCUUUCUCGUCUGACGGUACCGGAAGAAUAAGCACCGGCUAACUUCGUGCCAGCAGCCGCGGUAAUACGAAGGGUGCAAGCGUUAUCCGGAAUCACUGGGCGUAAAGGGCGCGUAGGCGGUCUGUUAAGUCCGAUGUUAAAGACCGGGGCUCAACCCCGGCAUGGCGUUGGAUACUGGCAGGCUUGACGGGUGGAGAGGCGAGUGGAAUUACCAGUGUAGCGGUGGAAUGCGUAGAUACUGGUAGGAACACCCAUUGCGAAGGCAGCUCGCUGGACACCUCGUGACGCUGAGGCGCGAAAGUGUGGGGAGCAAACCG